rnacentral:rRNA from 1 species
UGGGGAAUCUUAGGCAAUGGGGGAAACCCUGACCUAGCCAUGCCGCGUGGAGGAAGACACCCCUAUGGGGCGUAAACUCCUUUUCUACCGGAAGAAAACCCCGUUUUGCGGGGCGUGACGGUACGGUAGGAAUAAGCACCGGCUAACUCCGUGCCAGCAGCCGCGGUAAUACGGAGGGUGCAAGCGUUGUCCGGAAUCACUGGGCGUAAAGGGUGUGUAGGUGGGAUAGCAAGUCAGAGGUGAAAGCCUGCGGCUUAACCGUAGAAGUGCCUUUGAAACUGCUAUUCUUGAGUCCUGGAGAGGUUGCUGGAAUUCGUGGUGUAGCGGUGAAAUGCGUAGAUAUCACGAGGAACACCAGAGGCGUAAGCGAGCAACUGGACAGGUACUGACACUGAGGCACGAGAGCGUGGGGAGCAAACA